rnacentral:sRNA from 2 species
UGUUAGCCGAAUGCCGCGUAAGCUAUUGCAGCGGCAUCCUUUUUUAGCGGGCUCGGCCCGCUAAAAAAGAUACAGCGAAAAGAGCGACCCGAU